UGGGGGAUAUUGCACAAUGGGCGAAAGCCUGAUGCAGCGACGCCGCGUGGGGGAUGAAGGCCUUCGGGUUGUAAACUUCUUUUGCUCUGAACAAGGCGCACCAUGGGGUGUGUUGAGUGUAGGGGUUGAUUAGCGCCGGCUAACUACGUGCCAGCAGCCGCGGUAAUACGUAGGGCGCGAGCGUUGUCCGGAAUUAUUGGGCGUAAAGGGCUUGUAGGUGGCUGGUUGCGUCUGUCGUGAAAGCUCAUGGCUUAACUGUGGGUUUGCGGGGGGUACGGGCUGGCUUGAGUGCAGUAGGGGAGGCUGGAAUUCCUGGUGUAGCGGUGGAAUGCGCAGAUAUCAGGAGGAAUACCGGUGGCGAAGGCGGGUCUCUGGGCUGUUACUGACACUGAGGAGCGAAAGCAUGGUGAGCGAACAGG
rnacentral:rRNA from 1 species